AUUGAACGCUGGCGGCAGGCUUAACACAUGCAAGUCGAGCGAGCGGCGGACGGGUGAGUAAUGUCUGGGAAACUGCCUGAUGGAGGGGGAUAACUACUGGAAACGGUAGCUAAUACCGCAUACCAUCAGAUGUGCCCAGGUGGGAUUAGGUAGUAGGUGGGGUAAUGGCUCACCUAGGCGGCGAUCCCUAGCUGGUCUGAGAGGAUGACCAGCCACACUGGAACGAGGACACGGUCCAGACUCCGACGGGAGGCAGCAGUGGGGAAUAGUGGACAAGGGGAGAAAGCCUGAUGCAGCCAAGCCGCGUGUGUGAAGAAGGCCUUCGGGUUGUAAAGCACGUUAAGCGGGGAGGCGUUACUCACAGAAGAAGCACCGGCUAACUCCGUGCCAGCAGCCGCGGUAAUAC
rnacentral:rRNA from 1 species